GAUGAACGCUGGCGGCGUGCCUAAUACAUGCAAGUCGAGCGAACAGACGAGGAGCUUGCUCCUCUGACGUUAGCGGCGGACGGGUGAGUAACACGUGGAUAAACUACCUAUAAGACUGGGAUAACUUCGGGAAACCGGAGCUAAUACCGGAUAAUAUAUUGAACCGCAUGGUUCAAUAGUGAAAGACGGUUUUGCUGUCACUUAUAGAUGGAUCCGCGCCGCAUUAGCUAGUUGGUAAGGUAACGGCUUACCAAGGCAACGAUGCGUAGCCGACCUGAGAGGGUGAUCGGCCACACUGGAACUGAGACACGGUCCAGACUCCUACGGGAGGCAGCAGUAGGGAAUCUUCCGCAAUGGGCGAAAGCUUGACGGAGCAACGCCGCGUGAGUGAUGAAGGUCUUCGGAUCGUAAAACUCUGUUAUUAGGGAAGAACAAAUGUGUAAGUAACUAUGCACGUCUUGACGGUACCUAAUCAGAAAGCCACGGCUAACUACGUG
rnacentral:rRNA from 1 species